CUUUUGCUCAGUAGGUAGCGCGUCAGUCUUGCAAACUGAAGGUCCUGAGUUUGAUCCUCAAAAG
rnacentral:tRNA from 1 species